GAUGAACGCUAGCGGCAGGCCUAAUACAUGCAAGUCGAGGGGUAACAUGAACUGCUUGCAGUUUGAUGACGACCGGCGCACGGGUGCGUAACGCGUAUAUAACUUGCCUCAUACUGGAGAAUAGCCCGGAGAAUUACGGAUUAAUGCUCCAUAGUAUUAUAAAGUAGCAUUGCUUAAUAAUUAAAGAUUUAUCGGUAUGAGAUAGAUAUGCGUCCCAUUAG
rnacentral:rRNA from 1 species